CCUACGGGAGGCAGCAGUGGGGAAUAUUUCACAAUGGGGGAAACCCUGAUGCAGCAACGCCGCGUGAGCGAUGAAGGCCUUCGGGUCGUAAAGCUCUGUACUAAGGGAAGAAUACUGACGGUACCUUAGGAGGAAGCCCCGGCUAACUACGUGCCAGCAGCCGUGGUAAUACGUAGGGGGCUAGCGUUAUCCGGAAUUACUGGGCGUAUAGGGUGCGUAGGCGGCCCUUCAAGUCAGAGGUGAAAGGCUACGGCCCAACCGUAGUAAGCCUCUGAAACUGUAGGGCUUGAGUGCAGGAGAGGAGAGGGGAAUUCCCAGUGGAGUGGUGAAAUGCGUAGAUAUUGGGAGGGACACCAUUUGCGAAUGCGGCUCUCUGGACUGUAACUGACGCAGAGGCACGAAAGCGUGGGGAGCGAACAGGAUUCGAUACCCUAGUAGUC
rnacentral:rRNA from 1 species